rnacentral:lncRNA from 1 species
UGUGAAUGCUGCUGGCUCAGGUCGGACCCUCUCAGAAAUAAAUGUGGUCCGACAUAGAAGUGGAGGCCAAAAGGCACAUAGCCUUACACAGACAAAGUGUUUGUGCCACAUGCGGGGGAAAGGGGACACCGGAGCUCAACCCUCUUGAUGAGCAACUUGCCAGUAUUAUAGGGGAAUCCCUCCUGAGUGGAGUAGUGAUGGAGGGGGACACGGACAUUCAAGACGCACCGGGUGAUCCAGCGGGGUCGAUGGCGCUGCAGCUGAGCAGGAGCUGAGUGCACCCAGCCCCGGUGUCUCCACUGCACCUCGUGCGUCACAACCCUCCAGCGGCCUUGUCCUCACAGAUGCAGUCCUGCAAACGCAGAGAGACACCAUCGAAGCUAUUAAUAAGGUUGCCAAGGAGUUGAAGUGGGACAGGCACGGUUUGGUUUCGGCAGGUGCUUCUCUGUAAAGCUGGGCCCACUACAGCACAGAGGUCCAAGAGAACAGCUCUUGGUAAUCGGAACCGGCUCAUAAGCCACUCAUCACUGGCCAGUAAAUUUUGCUGAUCUCGGAAAAUUCGCUCUCUCUGAGUUCUUCCAUUCGCCAAAUCUUCCAACAGUGCCAGAGCAGCCAUUGUGCAUCAUUACAUAUUGUAAUUGCAUGCCUUUUUAUACCCAUUUGAUUGUCAAAGCUACCCAAUCGUGUAACACCUUCAGGUGUGGUAAUUACCCUGAGGGUAACUGACAAUGACAGGGCCAUUAUCACAUUGACAGUUCUGCGCAAAGAAUAUGUGAUAACAAUUUAUGAAACUGUGCACUUGUAUCUGCCUGACUGAGGCAUCGAAAACGGCAUCAGUUUAAAAGUAAUUUGUGUUACUGUUCACCUUAUUAUUUAUGAGAAUACAUUUCAUAACAUGCAAGUAUUGUUUGAUAAUUACAGAUCCAAUUAAAUAUGAUUCCUGAUUAAACCGUACAACAUAUUUGAGGGGGUUCUUUUGAAAAAAAACAUAUCUUCGUUUAUAU